rnacentral:rRNA from 1 species
AUUGAACGCUGGCGGCAGGCCUAACACAUGCAAGUCGAACGCGUGGCGGACGGGUGAGUAAUGUCUGGGAAACUUCCUGAUGGAUGGGGAUAACUACUGGAAACGGUAGCUAAUACCGCAUCCCAUCAGAUGUGCCCAGAUGGGAUUAGCUUGUUGUUGGGGUAACGGCUCACCACGGCGACGAUCCCUAGCUGGUCUGAGAGGAUGACCAGCCACACUGGAACUGAGACACGGUCCAGACUCCUACGGGAGGCAGCAGUGGGGAAUAUUGGACAAUGGGCGAAAGCCUGAUGCAGCCAUGCCGCGUGUAUGAAGAAGGUCUUCGGGUUGUAAAGUACUUUAAGCGGGGAGGCGUUACCAGCAGAAGAAGCACCGGCUAACUCCGUGCCAGCAGCCGCGGUAAUAC